UGGGGAAUAUUGGACAAUGGGGGAAACCCUGAUCCAGCCAUGCCGCGUGAGUGAUGAAGGCCCUAGGGUUGUAAAGCUCUUUUGUGCGGGAAGAUAAUGACGGUACCGCAAGAAUAAGCCCCGGCUAACUUCGUGCCAGCAGCCGCGGUAAUACGAAGGGGGCUAGCGUUGCUCGGAAUCACUGGGCGUAAAGGGUGCGUAGGCGGGUCUUUAAGUCAGAGGUGAGAGCCUGGAGCUCAACUCCAGAACUGCCUUUGAUACUGAGGAUCUUGAGUAUGGGAGAGGUGAGUGGAACUGCGAGUGUAGAGGUGAAAUUCGUAGAUAUUCGCAAGAACACCAGUGGCGAAGGCGGCUCACUGGCCCAUAACUGACGCUGAGGCACGAAAGCGUGGGGAGCAAACAGG
rnacentral:rRNA from 1 species